rnacentral:rRNA from 2 species
GGACUACCGGGGUUUCUAAUCCCGUUUGCUCCCCUGGCCUUCGCGCCUCAGCGUCAGGAACUGUCCAGAGAUCCGCCUUCGCCACCGGUCUUCCUCACGAUAUCUACGCAUUUCACUGCUACACCGUGAAUUCCAAUCUCCUCUCCAGUCCUCUAGCAGAGCAGUAUCAAGUGCAAUUUCAGAGUUGAGCUCUGAGAUUUCACACCUGACUUACCCCGCAGCCUACGCGCCCUUUACGCCCAAUGAAUCCGAACAACGCUCGAGACCUCUGUAUUACCGCGGCGGCUGGCAC